CUGAAGAGACUGCAAGACUUGAGAUCGGGUGAUGUUAAACGUACUUUCAGGGUAAGGGUAAAAUCCUGUAAUCCCGGAAGGACGACCAGUGGCGAAAGCGUUUAACUAGAACGAAUCUGACGGUAAGGAACGAAGGCUAGGGUAGCAAACCGGAUUAGAUACCCGGGUAGUCCUAGCUGUAAACAUUGCCCAUUUGAUGUUGCUUUCCCGUUGAGGGAAGGCAGUGUCGGAGCGAAGGUGUUAAAUGGGCCGCUUGGGAAGUAUGGUCGCAAGACUGAAACUUAAAGGAAUUGGCGGGGGAGCACCGCAACGGGAGGAAUGUGCGGUUUAAUUGGAUUCAACGCCGGAAAACUCACCGGGAACGACCUGUGCAUGAGAGUCAACUUGACGAGCUUACUCGAUAGCAGGAGAGGUGGUGCAUGGCCGUCGUCAGCUCGUACCGUAGGGCGUUCACUUAAGUGUGAUAACGAGCGAGACCCACAUCUUUAAUUGCAAAUGUAUAUGGGAAUAUGCAUGCACUUUAGAGAAACCGCCAGCGCUAAGCUGGAGGAAGGAGUGGUCGACGGCAGGUCAGUACGCCCCGAAUUUCCCGGGCUACACUCGCAUUACAAAGAACGGGACAAUACGUUGCAACCUCGAAAGAGGGAGCCAAUCGCGAAACCCGUCCAUAGUUAGGAUUGAGGGAUGUAA
rnacentral:rRNA from 1 species